UAGUCUUCCUAAUUAAUCACAAUUUAUGUAACUGCAUUCAGAAAUUCUGGAAGACUUUGUAUUAAAAUAGCUAAGUC
rfam:Eurypyga helias contig87027, whole genome shotgun sequence.